GACGAACGCUGGCGGCGUGCUUAACACAUGCAAGUCCAACGGUAAGGCCCUUCGGGGUACACGAGUGGCGAACGGGUGUGUAACCCGUGGGGGAUUUGCCAUGCACCUCGGGAUAAGCCUGGGAAACGGGGUCUAAUACCGGAUAGGACCAUGGGAUGCAUGUCCUGGGGUGGAACUCUUUUGCGGUGUGGGAUGGGCCCGCGGCCUAUCAGCUUGUUGGUGGGGUGAUGGCCUACCAAGGCGACGACGGGUAGCCGGCCUGAGAGGGUGACCGGCCACACUGGGACUGAGAUACGGCCCAGACUCCUACGGGAGGCAGCAGUGGGGAAUAUUGCACAAUGGGCGCAAGCCUGAUGCAGCGACGCCGCGUGAGGGAUGACGGCCUUCGGGUUGUAAACCUCUUUCAGCACCGACGAAGCGCAAGUGACGGUAGGUGCAGAAGAAGGACCGGCCAACUACGUGCCAGCCGCCGCCGUAA
rnacentral:rRNA from 1 species